GACGAACGCUGGCGGCGUGCUUAACACAUGCAAGUCGAACGGAAAGGCCCUGCUUUUGUGGGGUGCUCGAGUGGCGAACGGGUGAGUAACACGUGAGUAACCUGCCCUUGACUUUGGGAUAACUUCAGGAAACUGGGGCUAAUACCGGAUAGGAGCUCCUGCUGCAUGGUGGGGGUUGGAAAGUUUCGGCGGUUGGGGAUGGACUCGCGGCUUAUCAGCUUGUUGGUGGGGUAGUGGCUUACCAAGGCUUUGACGGGUAGCCGGCCUGAGAGGGUGACCGGCCACAUUGGGACUGAGACACGGACCAGACUCCUACGGGAGGCAGCAGUGGGGAAUAUUGCACAAUGGGCGGAAGCCUGAUGCAGCAACGCCGCGUGCGGGAUGACGGCCUUCGGGUUGUAAACCGCUUUCGCCUGUGACGAAGCGUGAGUGACGGUAAUGGGUAAAGAAGCACCGGCUAACUACGUG
rnacentral:rRNA from 1 species